rnacentral:rRNA from 1 species
AGUAGCAAAUAUUCAAAUGAGAGCUUUGAAGGCCGAAGUGGAGAAAGGUUCCAUGUGAACAGCAGUUGGACAUGGGUUAGUCGAUCCUAAGAGAUAGGGGAACUCCGUUUCAAAGUGCCCAAUUGCGGGCCAGCCUAUCGAAAGGGAAUCGGGUUAAUAUUCCCGAACCGGAACGUGGAUAUUCCUACUUUAACCGGUAGGAGGAGCGGUAACGCAACUGAACUCGGAGACGUCGGCGAGAGCCCUGGGAAGAGUUCUCUUUUCUUGUUAACGAGCUGACACCCUGGAAUCAGUUUGCCUGGAGAUAGGGUUUAAUGCUCGGUAAAGCACCACACUUCUUGUGGUGUCCGGUGCGCUCUCGACGGCCCUUGAAAAUCCGAGGGAGUGAUUAAUUUUCACGUCUGUUCGUACUCAUAACCGCAGCAGGUCUCCUAGGUGAGCAGCCUCUGGUCGAUAGAACAAUGUAGGUAAGGGAAGUCGGCAAAAUAGAUCCGUAACUUCGGGAAAAG